rnacentral:rRNA from 1 species
CUCAGGAUGAACGCUGACAGAAUGCUUAACACAUGCAAGUCUACUUGAUCCUUCGGGUGAAGGUGGCGGACGGGUGAAGUAACGCGUAAAGAACUUGCCUUACAGACUGGGACAACAUUUGGAAACGAAUGCUAAUACCGGAUAUUAUGAUUGGGUCGCAUGAUCUGGUUAUGAAAGCUAUAUGCGCUGUGAGAGAGCUUUGCGUCCCAUUAGUUAGUUGGUGAGGUAACGGCUCACCAAGACGAUGAUGGGUAGCCGGCCUGAGAGGGUGAACGGCCACAAGGGGACUGAGACACGGCCUUACUCCUACGGGAGGCAGCAGUGGGGAAUAUUGGACAAUGGACCAAAAGUCUGAUCCAGCAAUUUCCUGUGUGCACGAUGAAGUUUUUCGGAAUGUAAAGUGCUUUCAGUUGGGAAGAAGUCAGUGACGGUACCAACAGAAGAAGCGACGGCUAAAUACGUGCCAGCAGCUGC